UACGGAGGGUGCAAGCGUUGCUCGGAAUUAUUGGGCGUAAAGGGUAGGUAGGUGGUCUCAUUUGUCUGGGGUGAAAGCCUUGAGCUUAACUCAAGAAGUGCCCCAGAAACGGUGAGACUGGAGUCCUGGAGAGGGUCGUGGAAUUCCCGGUGUAGCGGUGAAAUGCGUAGAGAUCGGGAAGAACAUCGGUGGCGAAGGCGCUCUACUGGACCACAACUGACACUCAGGGACAAAAGCUAGGGGAGCGAAUAGG
rnacentral:rRNA from 1 species